rnacentral:lncRNA from 10 species
GAAAAGUGGUUCUUGGGCUGGGUUCAGUGACUCACUCCUGUAAUCCCAGCACCCAAGGAUCUCUUGAGGCCAGGAGUUCAAGACCAGCUUAAACAGCAUAGUGAGACCCCAUGUCUACAAUAAAAUAAAAUAAAAUAAGUAAGCUGGGCACUGUGGCUCAUAACUGUAGUCUUAGCCACUCGAGAGGCUGAGAUGGGAGGAUCAUUCAAGUCCAGGAGUUUGAGGUUACAGUGAGCUGUGAUUGUACCAAUGCACUGCAGCCUGGGACAGAGUGAAACCCUGUUGAAAGGAAGGAAGAGAGAGAGAGAGCGGAAGGAAGGAGAGAGAGAGAGAAAGAGAGAAAGGAAGGAAGGAAAGGAAAGAGAGAGGGAAAGAGAAUGAAAGAAAGAAAAAAAGAAAGGAAAGAAAAAAGAAAGAGGGAAAGAAAGAAAAGCAGUUCUUGGUUCAAUAAGAUAGGGAAAUACUGUAUAAAACAAAAGGCAAGCAGGUGUAUUCACCAUAGGAUUUGA